CCUCCCUCUCUCUUCCACGCGGAGAUGGAGCUUGUAAUAGACGGCGCUGGGCCCUAAGGGGUAUUGUUUCCACCUCCUGUCCUGUCCUCCAGUGUGAGGCCUGAUGUUUCCUCCAGAACAGCUGCUUCAGGAUACCCUUGUGAGCAGAAACCGAAGUGGCAUCUGCAGAGCAGAUGGCCUGGCAGUUACCAUUCUGUUUCCAUGAGUUCAGCUGUUUCAAGUUCCACAUGUAAGUGAGAUCACGUGGUGUUUGUCUUUCUGUGUAUGUCACUGAGGAUAUAGUCCUCCAGA